CCGCACGCGCGUGGCUCGAACAGGUGCAGGUGUGUGAUGGACCUGCGGCGUUGUAUCUGCUGCGCGGCGGUGUUUGCGUUACUGGCAGGUGUUGACGGAGGCUGCGGCAGAAAUCAGUGGCAGUGUGAUGAUGGAGUGUGUGUGUCGCACAGAUGGCGCUGUGACGGUGUCAGUGACUGCCAGGAUGGAUCUGAUGUGAUGGAGUGCAGUAUGUAGUCUUUAUGCUCGCUUGUUGAAUUAAUUAGAUUGCAUCUGGCUGAUUCCAUGGAAGGAGGACACAAAUAAACAAGCGUCUUUCUAUGCCAUUAGUAUGUCAGCCUGGAGAUGUGGAGUGUGCGGAUGGCUCCGGGUGUGUGAUUGGGUCGGGUGUUUGUGACGGCCGGCCCCAGUGUCCCGAUGCUUCAGAUGAGUGGGACUGCAGCUGGCGUUUAGGGUGUCUGUCAGGAGACCGGAAGUGCAAGAACAACAUUUGCAUACCACAAAAUCUUCUCUGCAAUGACGUCAACGACUGCGGGGACAACUCCGAUGAAGAAACCUGUGGUUCCUGUGGGAAGAUGAACAUCCGCUGUGCUGACGGCACGUGUCUAACCCCGAGACAGAGGUGUGAUGGAGUUGCUCAAAGCUCAGAUAAGAGAGAUGAGCCUCUUACAUGUGGUACAUAAAGACCCUCAGUAUUAAUUUUUAAUGUUGAACAUUUAUUUAUUUAGUGUUUUUGAGUU
rnacentral:lncRNA from 1 species